CGUCACCUCUUCCUUUUCACCAGAGAUGCUGCCUGACCCGCUGAGUUACUUCAGCAUUUUGUGCCUAUCUUGGGAAUACUAGGUCUUUUUUCAUACAAGCUUCAUUCCAUCAUUGCCACACCCUGCCCUCCACAUGCAAUUAACAUGCUAAAGCUGCUGAGUUCAACCGAAGUAAGAUAUUUCAAGACCAUAGUCCAAAGCCAAGUGUUCUCGUUGAAAAACAGGAACAUUAAGUAGAAAGGCAAUUGUGAGCAAGUUAUAUAUUAUACUUACCCAUGAAUAAAUCCUUCUCUCCUGCCUUUCUCUUGGAGUCAUCGCAAAGUGAAGAUCGAGGAUGGAACCAGUCCUUCAUCGAUUCAGGGAGCAGCUCUUUGGCCACUGGGAUGGGGCUGAGGAGGAUUCUGGCAAUGACUUUCCCUGUGGCAGAUAGAAUAGAGAGAUCCCUUUGUAAGGGCCUGUUCCACUGACGUGACUUUGCCAGGGCCUGUCCCACUGACAUGAC